GAUGGGUCGUGCUAGUCGUCCUCUUGUAGAUAGCUCAGGGAAGUGUAUCAUCCUCUGCCAUACACCACGGAAUGACUACUAUAAGAAGUUCUUGUAUGAAGCAUUUCCAGUUGAAAGCCAUCUGCAGCACUAUCUCCAUGACAAUUUGAAUGCUGAUGUGGUUACUGGAGUUAUUCAGAACAAGCAAGAUGCUGUGAAUUACCUAACAUGGACCUUCAUGUACAGAAGGCUGACACAGAAUCCAAAUUACUACAAUCUGCAGGGUGUUAGUCAUAGGCAUCUGUCUGACCACCUCUCGGAGCUAGUGGAGAAUACCAUCAGUGACUUGGAGACAAGCAAAUGCGUUGCUGUUGAGGAUGACUUUUUGCUUUCACCUUUGAAUCUUGGCAUGAUAGCGUCAUAUUAUUAUAUCAGUUACACGACAAUAGAGCGUUUUAGUUCUUCUGUGACCUCCAAAACAAAGUUGAAGGGCUUGCUGGAAAUAUUGGCUUCAGCAUCGGAGUAUGAACAGUUGCCUAUACGACCAGGUGAAGAGGAGUUUGGGUGUUAGUCACAGGCAUCUCUCUGACCACCUUUCGCAGCUGGUGGAGAAUGCUAUCAGUGACUUGGAGGCGAGCAAAUGUGUCGCCGUUGAGGAUGAAUUUUUGCUUUCACAUCUUGGCAUGAUAGCGUCAUAUUAUUAUAUCAGUUACACGACAAUAGAGCGUUUUAACUCUUCUUUGACCUCCAAAACGAAGUUGAAGGGCUUGCUGGAAAUAUUGGCUUCGGCUUCGGAAUAUGAACAGUUGCCUAUCCGACCAGGUGAGGAGGAGUUGAUAAGAAGGUUGAUUCAUCACCAGCUUUUCUGUUUUGAGAAUCCGAUAUACACAGAUCCUCAGAUGAAGGCUAAUGCUCUUUUGCAAGCCCAUUUCUCUAGGCAAGUGGUGGGUGGCAAUCUUGUUUCUGACCAGCAAGAGGUGCUUGUUUCUGCUAUUAGGCUGCUUCAAGCAAUGGUUGAUGUUAUUUCCAGCAAUGGAUGGUUUAGUCUAGCAUUCUA
rnacentral:lncRNA from 1 species